rnacentral:lncRNA from 1 species
UGGAAUUUUACUGACAAACCUUACUGGAGAAAUGAUGGAGCUGACUCCUGUGAGUUUUCUCACACACGAUUAAACUUACCCUCAAGACGGAAGAGUUGGAUCAACGCUAAGUUUCUACUACCAUAGCCUAAGAAGUUUAGUUCCUUCCAUGAGGGCUGGAGGGCUAGUGAACAUGCAGUUUCUCUGUAGAAGGGCUAAUCCAGGCAAGCUUGUGUCCUCCUCUUAAACCCACUGGUCAGAUAAUGCAGUUCUGGAAAAAGGCCAGGGCCUAGGGAGAGUUAGCUUUUCAUGGAACCCAAGGAGUGGAGGAAAAUAAACAUUUUAGUGCAACAUCUAGCUACUAAAACUCACAUGGAUGUCAUGGCAACUGAAGAGCGAUACCUUUCUCUCAGGGGAAAAUGAGUCUAUAACAUUCUGCUCAAUAGAGUUUAGCCAUUAAUGGGUUAAUUACUUUUAUUUACAAAGUAUACCUGACAAAUAUACAUGUGGAUGUAUAUGUAUAAAUUAAUCACAAAUAGGAGCGUACAUAAGUAUGAAUGUAACAUAUGCAUUCAUGUAUUCAGCUUGAGCACUUUUAUGUGGAGAUAUAUCGUUGGAAAUUUUAUCUAAAAAAAAUCGAAAGGGAGACAGUUGGCACCGCCCAGUUCCACAGACCCAUGCAUAACAUGAUGUUGAACAAUAAUUCCUAAGAAGGUUUAAAGAUGAUAUGCAAGAAAGUGGCUUCUGACAUCAAAACCUUAUAAAAAUAACACUCCAAUAAAGAAGACACAGCACAUGCAUGUCUCAUAAAAAGCAAACAGUUAGAGUCAGUGUGGGAACUAGGACUUCCCUUUAGAAACAUGCACGGCAUUCGCCAGGACACUAACGUUUGGGACUAGCUUGAUGCUCCACUCAACUGAAGUUGGUUGGUAAACUGUGGGUUCUCUGACUGCUUUUUGGUGUCUAGGUUUAUAUGGGUUCACUGCCAACCCCACCUUGAGGAUGGAGAAAGAGAACUUAGUUUCUCUUUAAGACUAUUUAUGUAUCUUUAAUAUAAAAAAUUAAACAGCUUCAUAACAAAGGAAAAAUGUUUCUUCUCACCUAUCAACAUAAAUGUAAAGUCCGAAGCUGGAUAUUAGCAAACGGAAACAAUGUUAGCUAGAGCUAUCCGUAUCCACCUUCUGCUUCAAGCACUCACUGGUGGCAGAGUCCAUAACCUGCAGAAGUGAUCGUGGUCUUUUGCUGCCUCAUAGAAUGGCCAAGCACAGAGAUGGCUUGGACGUGGCCGAGCCAUAGGAGUGUUUAUGUUGGGUAUGGCAGGCCCUGGGUUUGACCUCAUAGUAUUACUCCCUGUUUCAGGUUCAGAGAAAUCUCUUUACCAAAUUUAGUUAUACUUGUGAUUAGAACACUGUUCAUCCAGCCAGAAAAAGAAGAGAAGGAAUUUCUGAAGUCCAGUGCAGCAUAACUGCAGAAGCCAUAUCAUAAAAAACACGCCUAAACACCCAGGCUUUCCUUCCUUCUCCAAAUGAGGAAGAAGCCAAGGCUGUCUGGUAUACCAACUCCUGUGCAGCCUUGUAACUGAAGGGCCUACCAGUACCAAUGACAAAGACAGGUAUAAGACCUAGGGUUUGAAAUGGAGAAACCAGGGAAGAAAUCUGGGUUCUUACAGAUCUAUAGAGAAAUAAGAUAACUUUAAUAUCUUAAUGAAAUCAGUCAAUCUAAGAGAGUUAAUUAUCAUUUUCCUAUCAACAGAGAAACAGAAUAUGAAAAUAUAAGUGCAGCAUCAAUACCUUGGAAGAAUUUCUAAUAAUUAGGAAUAAAGAUGUAUGAGGUGCAUAUUCAGGAAAACGUAAAAGUGGAAAUAUAAACUUUAAUAACUAAAAUCAUCCUUAUAAUGUAAUUUUCUCUCAAAUUGUCCCAUAAAUAGCAAUGAAUCCAAUGUAAUCUUACUAUACUUUGCAGCAUACUUCUGUGUUUACUUAUUUUUGGUAGCAGAAAUAUCGGUUCCUAGCUUGUCCUAGCAUUUAAAAUGCAGACG